CAGUGAUUUUCACUCCAGAAGCCAACCAUCAAAAGACAAAGCUGCACAGACGCACGUUUUAGGGCCACAACAGGUGGCAUCACAAAUAAAAAAACAGGGAACGAUGUUUCACUCUUUUAUUAAACAAGGGCUUUUAUUGUGAAAAGGGGUGACAGCGAAAGGAGUGGAUCUGGGUCAAGGGUCAAAGGAGUACAACACUGUUUGCUGUCUUGGCGUCUGCCACUGUCAUCCAGGGAAAAAGGACGCCGUUACCCUGACGACACCCGACAGGGGACAAUGUCUCACGGAGUUUGGCGUCCGCCCGUUCCCCCCCCCCCGAGUGGGAAACCCGAGACGCCGGCCCCUGAAACCCGAUCGCCCCGAAUCCCAGGAGGAGGGGUCGGAAAAGGUUGCCGGACGCAGCGCUCUCCGGCGCCCGGGAUGAGACGUCAGCGGGCCGUCUGCCAGACAGACGCGCGGCGACUCGGUGACCUCGCCGCGGGAACGUUUAGCAGCUUCUGCACUUGGAUAACAGAUCGAGCGGAGCCGACCUUGGACUUCCUCCCCCCCCCCCGGCGCUGUCCUUUCACUUCUUCAUUUAUUGGGUUUGACAGUCAUCGUCGCUGGAGCGACGCGUCGUCCCGGGUGGAUUAGUAGCAUUUUACAGUCACGUUCAUUUGUGUGCAUGCAAACAUAUCACCAUGUAAGCUCGCAAUGUUUUUCACGUUGACGCCUAAAACAUCAGGGAUGCAUUGUGGGCUGUUCACACUCUAAGUGGCUUUUAAUACAUCAGUAAUGCAGCUAAAUGACACCACCAUAAAAACACUAUGAUAAAUAAGCUGAAUGAUUCAAACUGUGUUUGAAACACGAUAAAAGCGGUGCGACAGAUGGAGCCGCGUGGAAGCCGACGAUCAGGCGACGGUGAGCUUCUCGCUUCUUUGGGCGGGAACGAGCAGAGGUUGUCCGCGGGAGGCGAUGCUGAUCUGACGAGAGUGUGGUUUCAAACCUGACGCGCUUCACUCCUCGGGGGCCUUCUUAACAAAAAAAAGCAGUGAAGGGAGUGGAGGCUGUCAGACGCUUUUCCAUCGCUCCUCACACCCAGCCGCUCGCCCCCUGUUUCUACCGGACGCCGGACUUUUGCUCUCUUCGGGUCCGGCGUCUCCCACAGACGGGCGGUUUUUCGGAGGGGGUUUGGACACCAAAAUAAAAAACUCCAGGAGGCCGGCAGCGCGGAGGCGAGGUAGUAAAGGGCUGUUGAAGUGCACAGAUGGGGGGGGGGGAUCUCUGUUUGUUGUCAUGGUAACAGGCAGUGUGGUCCGCACAACACGUCCCCGUAGAGCCCCGGAUCCAGCGCAGCCCCUCUCCUCCAUUUUGAACGUGGAGGCGCUGAUCGUGCCGCAAUUUUUUUUUACCGAUUCGUCGGCGCUCCGACAUCAUACGAGACGCACGCACACACACACACACACACACACACACCUACACACAUCAGCAGAGCUCAUAUGUAAGGCCGGGCUGUGGUAGAUCGGGGUGUGCAUGUGGGCUGCACAAAUGGCCGAUGAGUCACCGGAUUCUCUUUUCGUGGCGUGUGGGAUUUCAGUGCAGCCGCGCGUGAAGGACCCCUUGAAGCACCCGUUGGGUUGUUGGCUGUCGGUCCUCUCUGAGUGUGUCUCGUGGACUCGCCUCCUGCUGAAGGACGAGGGGAGUCAGAGACGGACAGACGUCGUCCCUUCAGCCCACUUCGCUGAUCGAGCUCUGCUGAAAACGCGACGUCGAAGAAUCGCCUCCCCGGGCUGCUCGACUCUCCUGACCUCCGGCCUCCACAGAUGCUGCUUCUGAACGGCCGUCCACUUUAGUGGGGGGGGGGACGAGACGGUUUUCACCCUCUGUCCUCUUCUAAUAACAAAGGUGUAGAACUAAUCGCCAGCUGCUGGAGAUAUUGGGACAGAACGCGCUUUAAGGACCACGUGGGUUUAACAGUGAGGCGUAACAGACCAGAUGGAGGCGAAGUUCCUAAAUGCAAAGUGCCUUUUUAUUUCGCAGUACACACGACGGCGGCGGCGGCGGCGUCAGUUGGGGAGCACGAGACCGCUGAGGCGCCUGUACAGCCGUUUAAUACGACCGCAGAAGGUACAACGAAGGCCCCAUAAUAAUAAUCGUUUAAGAAGCAACCUCUUAAUGGAGGAUACAAAAUAAUAUUAAACCUGUUCAAGAUUUUUGGUCUUUUGGUCCAAAUUCCAACGAGCAAAGUCAAAAGGAUUCAAAACUGACGUCGACCUGCUGACAGCAGAAAAGAUUGCCGGCUCCUGCAGGAAAUCACGCCAAGAAUUAGGAGUAACUUUUAAUAAACUACCACACAAACCGUGUGUGGGUUAAUUGCCGUUCGGCCAAAGCACACAGAGCGCCGCUGAUUCAUAUCCACCAAUAAGAACGGUGCAAUUCCUCCCUCUGAAAUCAGUACGGGCCUCAGGAAAGGUGCCGGUUGACAAACACUAUUGACCUUUAUUUUGAAAAAGGGCGGCUUUUCACCGCGCACACCUUGACCACCGCUCGCCCCCCGGGGUCCCUUUGGCCCCGUGACCCUCCUCGUCUAGACAAAAACCCAACAAAGAUACACAUCAAGUCCCUGCUGGCUGGGAGCUAAAAGUGAAUAAAUAAAAUAAGCAAGUGGUUUAUGGGCCCAUGUGAAGCGCACAGUCCUUUCGGUGACGCCUUUGUCUGUGGGAACAAGAUAUUUGUAAAUUGUAUUGAUUUAUAUAAAACAUGCUUUUUAGCACUUCCUGCUGGUUUGAAUUGUUCAGACGACUUAAUGACUCCCCCUAAAUGUGUUCAUUUACCUAUAAAGUGUUUAACAUUUGUAUUAGUUUUUAAUACCGGCGUAUUGUGACACCUGCGUGUGCGUCUUUUUGCAUGCACAUGUAACACUAAGAAAUAAACAUCAAGGCACAGAACCGGUCAAAUGUAAUCAUUUAAAACGCCGGUCCACUGAACUACUUGUUUUUACAUUUAUGCAGCAAACAACCUGCCGAGGCGGCCAAAAUGUUUUUUUUUCUCAGUGUGCAGUUUGUUUCAUCAAUGAUGAAGAGGAGUUAGCGAGGAGGCCGGUGGGAUUAGAGACUGAUGGAGGAGAGCUGGCACGCCGCACGCGGGCCGGAGGCGGCGGCCCGCCUUCUGUUCGCCUCAAUUGAUCAUCAGAGGAGACGGACUUGGCCGCAAGUCCAGGUCCCCAGACGGAGUGGACGUCUCCGCUGCUUUAGUGCACGGACCAUCUAAUGAGCUCUGGACCGGGUCUGCUUGUAAAAGUCCUAAAUGUGCUCAAAGCCUCAGCUUUCAACCUGGUGCCCACAAUCACAAACCCGAUGCUUCUUCUGGGAACGAGAGGACAUUUACACAAAAGAGUACCCAUUGAAAUACAAACCGAAUGGAGGUAAAACUCGUACAGUCGUUCACUGAGGCUUUAAGGGGAAAGUAUUUUGAACCUCACAGUCGUUUUUUCCAUCUCGUAUUGAGAAGCCAACGCCUGCACACCCGCUGAAUGACCACAGACGCUGUAAAAUGUUGCCUUUGAGUCAUUUCAUCGGAAAAUAGACGAAGAAGGGAAGUAAUGAAUAAAACAAAUAAAUCCAUCAUGAAGUCC